rnacentral:rRNA from 1 species
CGGCGUGCUUAACACAUGCAAGUACGACGGAACUCUUUGGAGUCAAGGGCUUCGGCCAAGUGAGAAUGAGUUUAGUGGCGGACGGGUGAGUAACGCGUGAGGAACCUGCCUUUCAGAGGGGGACAACAGUUGGAAACGACUGCUAAUACCGCAUAACAUAUACUGAUCGCAUGGUUGGUAUAUCAAAGAUUUAUCGCUGAAAGAUGGCCUCGCGUCUGAUUAGCUAGUUGGUGAGGUAACGGCCCACCAAGGCGACGAUCAGUAGCCGGACUGAGAGGUUGACCGGCCACAUUGGGACUGAGAUACGGCCCAGACUCCUACGGGAGGCAGCAGUGGGGAAUAUUGCACAAUGGGGGAAACCCUGAUGCAGCGACGCCGCGUGAGCGAAGAAGUAUUUCGGUAUGUAAAGCUCUAUCAGCAAGGAAGAUAAUGACGGUACUUGACUAAGAAGCCCCGGCUAACUACGUG